ACACCCCACGUCCUCUUGGGAUAAAGCUCACCAGGACACCACACCAGAGCCUUGGAAGGAGCCGCCAGAGCAGCCAAAGCCUCCUACAGCUCCUUCCUGGUGCCCAGGGAAUGAGUGCUCAGUGUCUCCUGGAAAUCCCCUGAAAAGCCCCCAGAACCUCCGUGGGACACAGAGAGGUCCCCAAAGUUUUGGCCUCACGGCCCUAAAGCAUUGCACAGGGAAGAGGCUGAGGCCAGGACCUGACCCCAAAUCCACGGAGCUCCCAUGGAGGCAGGAGCGUGCCUUGGCAGGACGCAGGGCGUGGAUUCCAGCCCACACCUGGGCAGAGACGUGCAGGGACCUGCCAUGUCCAGAGCCGCCGGGAUCCUCCUCCUGCUCGAGGAAGGGCUGUAACCUCACCGGGCUGCAGG